UUAGUUUAACAGCAGUUAACAUUCACCAUCAGAACUAUAAAAAUAAGUUAACAGAUUUUAUACACCCUAGCUUUUUGGUGCAGUUCUUCAUGAAUUGUCAUAGGAACGGAUGACUACGGUAAGCAGUGUUCACUGAUUCAUAGAUCUGUAAAACCUAGCCUUGUUUCGGAGAUCAGAAAUGAACUCUCAGCUUCCAAUACUAUCACCUCCUCUUGCCAGUGGGAUUUAACAUGCCACAGAAGCAGGACAGUCACCAGAGGACAGCUGCUUUGUUGUCUAGUGACAAAAAGUCUUCCCUGUUAACAAUGUCGCUUGGAAAUGGAGAAAUAACCAAGGACUGCUCAAGAAAUGGUAAAACCCCAAAGUUCUACAGCUAAUUUCCACCAUCUCUGUUUUCACUGAAUAAUUUCUCACCUUAUUCACAUAGAUUUUUUGCUCUUUAAUUUUUUAUUUCUUAGUAGGUACAAACUCUGUUACCCAAUUUAAAGGAAAAAAACACCUUUUCAGAACACACUGCAGAAAAUCUCCAGUUUUCUUGGACUGCUCAAAGUACAGCACCUUUAGAGCGAACUCUAGCUAUUGUUUGCAAAUGAACAAUUGAAAACUUACAGAAAACACUGCUAAAAGAGACUACAGAAACAGGAUUUUGAACCAACCAGGCAGAACCUGAACUGUGAUAGAACUGACCUGAUCACUGCAGGCAACUUACAGUCACAAGCACUGAAGAGCAAGAGUGGAUGGGGAAUACGUAGCAAGUCUAGAAAAGCUGCAGUGAAAAAGGCAAUUCCUACAGGAUGUUAUAGAAGAAACUCUUAUCUUCUCUCAUUCCCAGUUUGCAGGGUUAAUAAAUCAGUGUCAGGAAUGAAUUAUUACUGACAAUGUUAUUUCCUUCUUCCUUUUUUUUUUUUUUAUUCUGGGUUUACACUUAACAAAAUGUUAUUUUAAUGACAGAGUUUUAUUACUUUUUUAAAAAAUAAUGACUGAUUUUUAAUCCAAGCUGAAUCUAGAUCCCCAAAUCUAAUACUCUGGGGUCUUAGCAGCUUAUCACCACAAUACCCACUUCCUGCUCUAAGAAAUUUCUUGUGUCUAAUGAGCCCUGAUUCCAUGGAAGAAGUCAAGUUUGUCAAACCCACAGGAUGCCUACCUGCUAAUGGGUACACAGAGGUCUACAAUAGGAAAACCUUAUGAUCUGUGCGUUGCUGGAGAGAUGUUAACUUUAGUGAGUUACAUACGCUGCUCCUUCCCCACUCAAGUCUAAACUAAGUCCAAUCUCAAAACUGGUUUCAGUGUAUGAGGAAACUGACCUUUCUUCAAAAGCAGAAUGAUUUAAAUUAUUACUUGCACCAUCAACUUGGUAUGAGUAGUGUUCAAGUAGGUAAAGCAAAAAAUAUCCUCUCUUAAUUAGAGGAAAGCUACCUUAAUGCAUCUGUCCUUCACUGUAGUCCUAAAUAUCUAGAUACUCAUGCAAUUUCAGGGUUGCUAUAGCAACAUAAGGCCUUCAAAUAGAUAAUGACGUACGGUCUGAAGUCAUUUCCAGACCUCAUUGAUGUCAGCCUCUCUGCUUCUGGCAACCCCUCCCUAAGCUAACCAGCCUUCUUAGUCACUUCUGUGUUUAGCAACAUGACUUGGACUAUAUACUUCUUCCCUGGUUUCAGCAUAAAUUAGACCUCUCUUUAACGAGACUUAUGGUCAACACUGCUCUCUUUGAAUACAUUUGUACCCAACUCCAAACGAAGGUGGAUAUCUUAUGUUUAGGAAACAAGCUUAGCAGCUGAUGGACUCUACAAGCUGGAAUGAAACACUAAGUUUGAGGGAUUUAACGACAACAGCGCAAAAUGUCAUCACUGAGAUCUGCUUAACUGCAGAGUAAGAACUUACCACACUAUAACGUAUCCACAAACCUAUUAGCUGUGCAAUAAGGAGGGUGCAAGCUGGAGGGAUCAAGCAGCUGCACGCUGAUGCAGUGUAUUGCUGGGCUGCCCGGUUCGUAACUCUGAGGUACGGAUCUGGUGUGUUUCACAGACAGUGAAUUAAAAUUGAAAAGGGCUUCGUAUAUAAAGUCUUUGACUGGCCUUAUGGAGAUGAUGAACUAGUUGAAUAACUAAGAUCUCACUGUACUUAGUUUUGGAAACACUGAUGAGGAAAAUCAGGCAAUGUUUAUGAAGGUUAUAAAAUCAGUAAUUCUGAGCAUUUUACAAUGCAGUGACUUCAAAAAAGUGUUUUCUUUUGCUUGUCUCCGAUUAAACAAGAUCACAGAUCUUUGCUAAACAUUCUCAUUUGUGUGCCUAUGGAAAUUGCACACUAAUAAGCAUUUUGGUCCUGUCUGUCCUAGUCUCACUAAAACUGCUUGGGCAAGUCAAGGACUGUGGGUGGGGGGGGGGGGCAGGUGUUUGUUGUUUUGGGUGUUUUUUUUUAAAAAAAUAGUUUAUUCUGUUGUUUGGGUAAAUGUUAUUUUUUCUCUUACUGAGUUCCUUAGUGAAUGUAAUUUGUAAAUAUCAUUACACACUCAGCAGUUCUUAAAAAAGCAUAUAAAAUUUAGCUAUCAUGGAGAAAAAAGUGUAAACAUUGCAAAUGAAGUUUUGCAACACUUUUAUUUAUUCUUGUUCUAGCGCUAACUGUCCAUAUUGUCUUGCUGAAAGGAUUCAUUAGAAUUCUUCAAUAUCCCGAUACAGUAUCCCUUACACCAAAAGACUAAUAAAGCUUUUAGUGGUCACUAUGAAUAAUAUUUCCUACCGCACUUCUACAUGUUUUUACUUUAAAAGCUAAAAAAUUUGUAUUUCUUAGUACCCUUUUCCUUAAGUAAGCUUAUAAUCAAAGGCUAAUCUAUAGAACAAUUUGUUCUGUAUAAUUUUCUAUCUCACCACAUGUCCCUUUUCAAAACUGGUUAUAUUUUAAUUCCCUAUGUAGUUCUUAGUAUAUGGGUUCUGUUUGAACCUUUCGUUCACUUGCCAAAUAUUUUGCUUUCCAUCUUCCAGAAAGAAAGCAUAACAAACAUUCAAAAAAUUACAAUAAUUCUUGCAAGAAAUACAGCUAGCACUAAGCAAAGAUUAAUUAUUUCAUCCUCUCUCCCUGUGGGUGCUGCAUGUGUAUAAAUGUCAUAUUCUAGCACAGAAGCAGGAAAUUAACCUGUGUUUAAAUUGCAGCUAUUCCCUGUACAAUAACCUGCUCUACUCAAUCUAAUAAGCAAGGAUUUUAAAAACACGAUUCAAUCAUUUUGAUUAUUUAAACAGAUCUCCUAAAGUCAGAUAAUUCAGAUUUUGUGUUGUCUUUUUUUGGGUUCUAUCUUGCGUUUAAAAAAACGAUGGAAUUUCUUGCAUCUUUCUAUAAUUGGAAUGGUGGAAAUUCAUUAAUUUAUGACAGGAGGCUAGGCAAAAUGUUUUCCUUGCCUAUUCUUCUGAACAUCUUUCCACUGACUACAUUAUUUCCAUUCUCAGUAAGCACUGUGAAAACAAAGAUGGAUUAAAGUUAGGUAAGAAGUGGUUUGAAGGAUUCUCUCGCACUGAAAGCUGAAGACCAGUGUUUAAUACAUCCAGUUAAAAUGUCACAAAUGUACUAUGGUGAGGAGUUGCUUUCUAUUGAACUUGCCAAAUUUGUAUGGUGAAACUGUUUCCUCGUGUUAUUUUGGCAGAAAAAGGCCAAACAAUUAUUGUCAUUUUGAAAAAUCUGAAAUGACAGAAAGUUAUUUUCUUCCUUAAUAAAAUAUUGUUUAACAGAAAGGCGUAUCUUGGAAACUUUGCUGUGUCAUGGCCUGACUUAGGCUCACUUGCCUAACUAGCAUAGUUAAGGAUCAAUGUAACUAGAUGCAGUCUUAAGUAAGAUCUCCCCAUUUUCUCUGGACUGGCAUUCAACUGUUUGCAGACACAGGGAGAAACUGAUGACUUAAAUCUUCUCAGGCUAUCAUUUGUAUUUCAUAUUUUUUAUCUAACUGCUCCAUCCUGUGUGGCAAAAAAGACAGAUUUUAUUAAUUAUCAGACAAAAUAUGUAACUGACUUCCAACAAGAACAAGAUCCAAUUGUCUACCAGAGCCUUUUUAACAUCAAGAGUCUGUAUGAAAUUCGGAAGUCCUCGGAACGCACCUUAAUCAAAACCAGAAGCUGCAGUCCUAAGAAUCUGGAAACAGGGAAUAGAAGUAUGGCAACAAAAGGGGCAAUUCUGGACAUACAGAACGCAUUCCAGCAGCUCUGCAGUUGCUGUUUCUGCCCCAAGUUUACUUUGGCUUUUGAAUCUGAUGUGGUACACAAAAUUAGAUAUGUACCCAGGGAUCAGGACAGGGGGUGACACAGUCACAGGUAUUUCUUCAGUAGCAGUCUUUACCUUGUGCCUGCAAUGAAAGAAGGGUGACACCUGGCAAAAAUACUUAAUUUGUGGUGGCACUGUUCACUACUUGAAAGUGACCUGAAACCAUCUUAGUUGGUGAGCUGUUACCUGCAAGUUACUGACUUUAUUCUUUCUAUGGCUGGCAGCCAAAUGCCGCUCAGGAUGCCAACUCAGAACGUUCCCCAUAGGACUGAAAGAAAAUCCUUCACCAUGCUCUGCCUCCUGUUCCCUGCCUGCCUUCAGAGAUACUGUCUGUGGGCCAUCCUUAAAUCCAGAAGAUCUGCAAUGGGGAAAUGAAUAGUGGUUUUCCCAAGCACAGAAUUUUCUUAACUUAUAGUUUCAGUGGUCUACAUGAACUUAAAUGAUGCCUUUGGGAUUUGAGUAAUUUUAACAGUGCAUCAGGAUUUGAGCAAUUUUAACAGUGUUUCAGUACUUGUUGAUGCUAGCGUAUUACUUGAGGAUUAGCUCUUUAAGUAUUUCUACAUAUGAAUAACCAAGAACAUGUUUGCCUGCUGUUGCCAACUUCAGUAGUUCAUUAUGGCAAGAAACCCACUAUCAAAUCCAAACGCUUGGUCCAACACCUGUCAUGAAGGACAUCUGUCAUAAAAAUAUUAUUUUGCAAAAGAAAAUAUAACCAGGGUCUGUUUAUAUAUGAUGCUGAUGGUUGCUUGGAGAGAAAAUGAAAGAGAAUGAAUUAAUAAAAAUCUGCCUCACUUUGAACUGUUAUAUUAUCAAGAUUCUUAUCCAGGUGAACUGCACUGUAGGAGAAAGAAGACUUUUUUAAAAGGCUGUGUUGGCUGAAAAACUGCAAGUAAAAAGGAGAUGGGAGAUCAGUGCAACAUGGAAGCAAAUGUGGCACUGAGGAGCGUGGAGGUUGCUGCCCUGCACUCUACAAGCUGGGAAGUCACCAUCUGGCAGAGACAGUACUUGAAGCUCGCAAGUGACUGCAGGUAGCAACAAGUGGAAAAGCACCUGUGACCUGUGUGACCCGUCCUAUGACAGAGGGUCACACAGCAUGCAAGACAAGCAAUAAAAGUAGUAUAAAAAUAUG